rnacentral:tRNA from 1 species
UGGCCGGUCGCCAAGUGGUAAGGCACCAGGUUUUGAUCCUGGCAUACGUAGGUUCGACCCCUACCCGGCCAA